rnacentral:rRNA from 1 species
CCUACGGGAGGCUGCAGUAGGGAAUAUUGCUCAAUGGGGGAAACCCUGAAGCAGCAACGCCGCGUGGAGGAUGAAGGUUUUCGGAUUGUAAACUCCUUUUGUUAGAGAAGAUAAUGACGGUAUCUAACGAAUAAGCACCGGCUAACUCCGUGCCAGCAGCCGCGGUAAUACGGAGGGUGCAAGCGUUACUCGGAUUCACUGGGCGUAAAGAGCGCGUAGGCGGGAUAGCAAGUCAGAGGUGAAAUCCUAGGGCUUAACCUUAGAACUGCAUUUGAAACUGUUAUACUAGAGUAUGGGAGAGGUAGGUGGAAUUCUUGGUGUAGGGGUAAAAUCCGUAGAGAUCAAGAGGAAUACUCAUUGCGAAGGCGACCUGCUAGAACAUAACUGACGCUGAUGCGCGAAAGCGUGGGGAGCAAACAGGAUUAGAUACCCGGGUAGUC